GAAGCCCUCAGAAGUUUAAACAAACAAAAUCGGAGCGAAAAUGGAUUCGCGAACUGCCUUCGCCCUUUUUUAUGUUUUUGUCUUAGCAAUUCCUGGUUUUGUGUUGGCUUCCAAUUCUAGAAGGUGGAACUGCCCCUUCGACUCCAGAUGUGGAAGAAAACAAAAGUUGAGGCGAAAUGAAGCCGUUGUUAGCCAUCUUGAAAGAAACAUGAUAUUUAGGCCGGAGGAGGAAGUGAUGGAAAACGUGAGAGGACUGGACACUCCAGAUAUCGCAGUGGCUGAUGGGAAUGAUAAAGAACGGAAUUAAAUGUUAACCCCUUGCUAAACCGACAAAAUAAUAAGUAAACCACAGUAGAUAACAAACAAUGAAUAAAUAGAAUCAAAUUAUAAAUUGGCACUAUUGCUUUGAACAAA